AGUGAACGCUGGCGGCAGGCCUAACACAUGCAAGUCGAACGGACCCUUCGGGGUUAGUGGCGGACGGGUGAGUAACACGUGGGAACGUGCCUUUAGGUUCGGAAUAGCUCCUGGAAACGGGUGGUAAUGCCGAAUGUGCCCUUCGGGGGAAAGAUUUAUCGCCUUUAGAGCGGCCCGCGUCUGAUUAACUAGUUGGUGAGGUAAUGGCUCACCAAGGCGACGAUCAGUAGCUGGUCUGAGAGGAUGACCAGCCACAUUGGGACUGAGACACGGCCCAAACUCCUACGGGAGGCAGCAGUGGGGAAUCUUGCGCAAUGGGCGAAAGCCUGACGCAGCCAUGCCGCGUGGAUGAUGAAGGUCUUAGGAUUGUAAAAUCCUUUCACCGGUGAAGAUAAUGACUGUAGCCGGAGAAGAAGCCCCGGCUAACUUCGUGCCAGCCGCCGCAGUAAAAC
rnacentral:rRNA from 1 species